UUAAGCGACUAAGCGUACACGGUGGAUGCCCUGGCAGUCAGAGGCGAUGAAGGACGUGCUAAUCUGCGAAAAGCGUCGGUAAGGUGAUAUGAACCGUUACAGCCGGCGAUGUCCGAAUGGGGAAACCCAGUGCAAUUCGUUGCACUAUCGUUAACUGAAUACAUAGGUUAACGAGGCGAACCGGGGGAACUGAAACAUCUAAGUACCCCGAGGAAAAGAAAUCAACCGAGAUUCCCCCAGUAGCGGCGAGCGAACGGGGAGCAGCCCAGAGUCUGAAUCAGCUUGUGUGUUAGUGGAACGGUCUGGAAAGUCCGACGGUACAGGGUGAUAGUCCCGUACACCAAAAUGCACAGGCUGUGAACUCGAAGAGUAGGGCGGGACACGUGGUAUCCUGUCUGAAUAUGGGGGACCAUCCUCCAAGGCUAAAUACUCCUGACUGACCGAUAGUGAACCAGUACCGUGAGGGAAAGGCGAAAAGAACCCCGGCGAGGGGAGUGAAAAAGAACCUGAAACCGUGUACGUACAAGCAGUGGGAGCACCUUCGGGUGUGACUGCGUACCUUUUGUAUAAUGGGUCAGCGACUUAUAUUCUGUAGCAAGGUUAACCGUAUAGGGGAGCCGCAGGGAAACCGAGUCUUAACUGGGCGUUAAGUUGCAGGGUAUAGACCCGAAACCCGGUGAUCUAGCCAUGGGCAGGUUGAAGGUUGGGUAACACUAACUGGAGGACCGAACCGACUAAUGUUGAAAAAUUAGCGGAUGACUUGUGGCUGGGGGUGAAAGGCCAAUCAAACCGGGAGAUAGCUGGUUCUCCCCGAAAGCUAUUUAGGUAGCGCCUCGUGAAUUCAUCUUCGGGGGUAGAGCACUGUUUCGGCUAGGGGGUCAUCCCGACUUACCAACCCGAUGCAAACUACGAAUACCGAAGAAUGUUAUCACGGGAGACACACGGCGGGUGCUAACGUCCGUCGUGAAGAGGGAAACAACCCAGACCGCCAGCUAAGGUCCCAAAGUCACAGUUAAGUGGGAAACGAUGUGGGAAGGCACAGACAGCCAGGAUGUUGGCUUAGAAGCAGCCAUCAUUUAAAGAAAGCGUAAUAGCUCACUGGUCGAGUCGGCCUGCGCGGAAGAUGUAACGGGGCUAAACUGUGCACCGAAGCUGCGGCAGCGACACUAUGUGUUGUUGGGUAGGGGAGCGUUCUGUAAGCCUGCGAAGGUGGCCUGUGAGGGUUGCUGGAGGUAUCAGAAGUGCGAAUGCUGACAUAAGUAACGAUAAUGCGGGUGAAAAGCCCGCACGCCGGAAGACCAAGGGUUCCUGUCCAACGUUAAUCGGGGCAGGGUGAGUCGACCCCUAAGGCGAGGCCGAAAGGCGUAGUCGAUGGGAAACAGGUUAAUAUUCCUGUACUUGGUGUUACUGCGAAGGGGGGACGGAGAAGGCUAUGUUAGCCGGGCGACGGUUGUCCCGGUUUAAGCAUGUAGGCGGAGGUUCCAGGUAAAUCCGGUACCUUAUUAACGCUGAGGUGUGAUGACGAGGCACUACGGUGCUGAAGUAACAAAUGCCCUGCUUCCAGGAAAAGCCUCUAAGCAUCAGGUAACAUUGAAUCGUACCCCAAACCGACACAGGUGGUCAGGUAGAGAAUACCAAGGCGCUUGAGAGAACUCGGGUGAAGGAACUAGGCAAAAUGGUGCCGUAACUUCGGGAGAAGGCACGCUGAUAUGUAGGUGAAGCCCCUGCGGGUGGAGCUGAAAUCAGUCGAAGAUACCAGCUGGCUGCAACUGUUUAUUAAAAACACAGCACUGUGCAAACACGAAAGUGGACGUAUACGGUGUGACGCCUGCCCGGUGCCGGAAGGUUAAUUGAUGGGGUUAUCCGUAAGGAGAAGCUCUUGAUCGAAGCCCCGGUAAACGGCGGCCGUAACUAUAACGGUCCUAAGGUAGCGAAAUUCCUUGUCGGGUAAGUUCCGACCUGCACGAAUGGCGUAAUGAUGGCCAGGCUGUCUCCACCCGAGACUCAGUGAAAUUGAACUCGCUGUGAAGAUGCAGUGUACCCGCGGCAAGACGGAAAGACCCCGUGAACCUUUACUAUAGCUUGACACUGAACAUUGAGCCUUGAUGUGUAGGAUAGGUGGGAGGCUUUGAAGCGUGGACGCCAGUCUGCGUGGAGCCAACCUUGAAAUACCACCCUUUAAUGUUUGAUGUUCUAACGUUGGCCCCUGACCGGGGUUGCGGACAGUGUCUGGUGGGUAGUUUGACUGGGGCGGUCUCCUCCCAAAGAGUAACGGAGGAGCACGAAGGUUAGCUAAUCCUGGUCGGACAUCAGGAGGUUAGUGCAAUGGCAUAAGCUAGCUUGACUGCGAGCGUGACGGCGCGAGCAGGUGCGAAAGCAGGUCAUAGUGAUCCGGUGGUUCUGAAUGGAAGGGCCAUCGCUCAACGGAUAAAAGGUACUCCGGGGAUAACAGGCUGAUACCGCCCAAGAGUUCAUAUCGACGGCGGUGUUUGGCACCUCGAUGUCGGCUCAUCACAUCCUGGGGCUGAAGUAGGUCCCAAGGGUAUGGCUGUUCGCCAUUUAAAGUGGUACGCGAGCUGGGUUUAGAACGUCGUGAGACAGUUCGGUCCCUAUCUGCCGUGGGCGCUGGAGAAUUGAGGGGGGCUGCUCCUAGUACGAGAGGACCGGAGUGGACGCAUCACUGGUGUUCGGGUUGUCAUGCCAAUGGCAUUGCCCGGUAGCUAAAUGCGGAAGAGAUAAGUGCUGAAAGCAUCUAAGCACGAAACUUGCCCCGAGAUGAGUUCUCCCUGAGACUUUAAGUCUCCUGAAGGAACGUUAAAGACGAUGACGUUGAUAGGUCGGGUGUGUAAGCGUAGCGAUACGUUGAGCUAACCGAUACUAAUGAACCGUGAGGCUUAACCUU
rnacentral:rRNA from 1 species